GACGAACGCUGGCGGCGUGCUUAACACAUGCAAGUCGAACGGGGAUAUAUCGGGAAGGGCUUCGGUCUGGAAGGAUGUAUUCGAGUGGCGGACGGGUGAGUAACGCGUGAACAAUCUGUCCCAGACAGGGGGAUAACACUUGGAAACAGGUGCUAAUACCGCAUAAGACCACGGGGUCGCAUGGCUUUGAGGUAAAAGGAGGAAUCCGGUUUGGGGUGAGUUCGCGUCCGAUUGGAUAGUUGGUGAGGUAACGGCCCACCAAGUCGACGAUCGGUAGCCGACCUGAGAGGGUGAUCGGCCACAUUGGAACUGAGAGACGGUCCAA
rnacentral:rRNA from 1 species